GUUUCUCUUUCCCCCUCUCUCUAUUUUUUGCCUCUUCUUGGGUUAAAUAUUUUUUCAUCGUCCCAUUUUUUUCACUUCUGUUUGGUUACAGUCUGUUUCUGUUCUUUUAGGGGUUUCUAUAGAAAUUACAAUAUUCGUAUAUUAGGCAUCAAAUUCUAAAGUUAAUCUAUUUUUCCUAAUAUACGUUAACAUGUUAUUUUUAACAUAUAUUUUAAUUAUAUUUUUAUUUAAUCUCAUAAGACCUUAUUAUUUUAUACAGUGUUCAUUUAGAUUUAUCCUCAUUACAAUGUUCAGCAGCCGUUUAUCUCUUUAUAUUCAUGGGCCAAACUCCUGAAGUCUGUUGUUUGGAUGGUGGUAUGGAAAGGAGCAGAAGGACCUUGCAUAUUGUGGUAUUGUGGUUUAUAAUAAAUAUGUAUUUGGUGGUUCGUCCAGUUUCUGGCACAGAAGUCCUAAAAUUCUUGGAAUUUCCGAAUUGAUAAGUGUCCUAAAAGUGUCGUUUGUUAGGUUACUGAGGUGACUUUUGGAAAGCCCCUCAGUCGCCUAAGAUUAGGGACUAGCCAUGUGCUUAGGUGAAUGGAACUUUCAGUUCCAUCCCUUGAUUUCCAGGGAGGGGAGAGGGGCUGGAGGCUGAGCCAGUCACCAUGGCGGAUGAGUUAAUCAUGGCUUUGUGAUGAAGCCUCCAUAAAAACAUGAAAGAAUGGGGUCCAGAGACCCUCCAGGGUUGGCGCACCCAGGGCGGCACAGGGAGAGCGGCGUAGGGGGAGCGGCGUGCCGGGAGAGGGUAGGGAGGCUGCGGGCCCCUUCCUACAUCCCUGGCCCUAUGUACCGAUCACUUCAUCUGGCUGCUGAUUCAUAUCCUUUAAUAUCCUUUGUUAGAAACUGGCUAUCUAGUGAGUUUAUGGGUUCUCCGAGUUCUGUGAGCCGCUCUAGCAAAUUAAACCCAAGGAGGGGGUUUGGGAACCUCUGAUUUGUAACCAGUCUGGUCAGAAACACAGGUAACAGCCUGGGCUCGAAACUGUCACAUGAAGUGGGGUCAGGCUUGUGGGACCCAGCCCUUUCCCUGUGGAAUCUGGCUGUCUCUGGGUAGAUAGCAUCAGAAUUGAGUUAAUUGCGGGGUACCUGGGGUCUCAGUUGGUUAAGCAUCUGCCUUUGGCUCAGGUCAUGAUCCCAGGGUCCCGGGAUUGAGCCUCCUGCAUUGGGCUCUCCGCUCAGUGGGGGAGUCUGCUUCUCCCUCUAACCCUCCCCCCUCUUGUGCUCUCACUCACUCUCAAAUAAGUAAGUAAAAUCUUAAAAAAAAAAAAAUUGAGUCAAUUACUUGGUGGUGUGGGGAAUCCCUCUACCCCCCCAAACACAUUGGAAUUGGUAUCAAAUCAUUAAUAUAGUUCAACACUUUGAAGAAAGUAAAGAUGCAAAAGGCCUGAUUUAUGCAGAAAGUUACUCAGCUGCUCUUCCCACUCCUCAGCUGGUGCUAGAACUAAGCAGAGGAAUCAUUUUCUUGGUGUGAUGCCUGGAUUGAAACACACCAGGGUAGGCCAAUUUGCCGUUCUCUAAAACUCAUUUUUGGCUCCCACCUACCCCGGGUUGAGUUGGAAAUGUGUGAAUUGAAGCCUGAGUUGAGAAUGAACUGGGGCCUUGAAGCUCCUAAACACUUAUUACUUGAGAGGAUGUGUAGGAAAGGACCUUUAAUCCUGUAAUAUGUGUAACACAUGUAAUAUAUGUAGCAUAUGGAAGGUGGAACUGACCAGAAAUGUGAAUGGGAAGUAGGUAAUCGAGAGAGAAGGUACUGCAUAUUCUAUAUUAAGAACUUUUAAAAGUAAGUAAAAACUAGAGCAAGCCAAGUUAAAAAAAAAUCCCAAAUUUGACCAAACUUAGUUAUAACUUUAACUUGAUUUAUUGCAACAUCACUGUAUCUCUGCAGGUCUGGUUUCCCUGGUAUCUCGAGAACAUUUUGGGUAAAAUCCAUACUUGAGGCUCAGCCAUAAGUCUCAUGCUUGAAAAUAAUUAAGUUCUUGAUUCCAGCUAAUUUUAUUUCUUUCUCUUAUAUUACUAACGCUCCUGUCCUUUUGGAAAUUGGAAUGUAGAAUGCCAUGUGGCAAAUGUUAAGAAGUGGGAAAAGCUGUUGGAAAAUGAUCUGAUGUCAAUUUACUUUUCUCUUUGGAGCAGAGCAAUCCUUUCCCCAGUGCCUGGGCCUGGAUCUUCUGCCUCAGGCGGCAGACAAGAGGGUGGCUGUCGCUGCUGGAUUCACUCAUGGUUGCUCUUGGACAGAUCAAGGAUCCCCACUCGGUAUAAAUGGGUCAGACGAGUUUGGACAUGUCUGAACGGUGGCCUGGGCUCCCCGGAAGCCUGCUUGGGUCUGGGUUGGAUGUCUGUCAUGCCCCCCUCCUCGGGGCCAGCGCGCUGGCUUCAUGAGCUCCUCUCCGGUCACCCCAAAGUUCCAGACCCUCCAUGUACUACAGGGCUCAGCGCCCGAAGUGGGUGAGCCUGAAACACCACCAUGAUGUCCACUGUCUCAUCCUUUGAUCCAGCAUCUCCUCUUCAAGUUUCUUCUCCAGGUGAUGAGCCAGGCACAAAGAGACCUCCAGGAUCAGAGUUGGUUGGUGACCACCAGUGCUGGGAUCCAGAUGUCCUCAUUCUCUGCUUUUUCCCUUUAUAGCCAAUUAACACUUUCUCUGUCAAAAAUAGUAUCCGAGAGUACUGUUGGUUUAAAAUGUUAAAAAAAAAAAAAAGGCGCCUUGCCAAUUUAGGAUGGAUUUUAGUUUUGAGAUUCUAAUUUGGGAACCGCGGGGUGGGGGUGGGGGGACGGGGGAAUAA